AUGGGAAUUUUGCCUCCGGGACCGUUUGUAAUAGC
rnacentral:piRNA from 1 species